GAUGAACGCUGGCGGCGUGCCUAAUACAUGCAAGUCGAGCGAACAGAUAAGGAGCUUGCUCCUUUGACGUUAGCGGCGGACGGGUGAGUAACACGUGGGUAACCUACCUAUAAGACUGGGAUAACUUCGGGAAACCGGAGCUAAUACCGGAUAAUAUUUCGAACCGCAUGGUUCGAUAGUGAAAGAUGUUUUUGCUAUCACUUAUAGAUGGACCCGCGCCGUAUUAGCUAGUUGGUAAGGUAACGGCUUACCAAGGCGACGAUACGUAGCCGACCUGAGAGGGUGAUCGCCCACCCUGGAACUGAGACGCGGUCCAGACUCCUACGGGAGGCAGCAGUAGGGAAUCUGCCGCAAUGGGCGAAAGCCUGACGGAGCAACGCCGCGUGGGUGAUGAAGGUCUUCGGAUCGUAAAACUCUGUUAUUAGGGAAGAACAUACGUGUAAGUAACUGUGCACGUCUUGACGGUACCUGAUCAGAAAGCCACGGCUAACUACGUG
rnacentral:rRNA from 1 species